rnacentral:rRNA from 1 species
GGGAAUAUUGCACAAUGGGCGAAAGCCUGAUGCAGCAACGCCGCGUGAGUGAUGAAGGUCUUCGGAUUGUAAAGCUCUGUCUUUUGGGACGAUAAUGACGGUACCAAAGGAGGAAGCCACGGCUAACUACGUGCCAGCAGCCGCGGUAAUACGUAGGUGGCGAGCGUUGUCCGGAUUUACUGGGCGUAAAGGGUGCGUAGGCGGAUGUUUAAGUGAGAUGUGAAAUACCCGGGCUUAACUUGGGUGCUGCAUUUCAAACUGGAUAUCUAGAGUGCAGGAGAGGAGAAUGGAGUUCCUAGUGUAGCGGUGAAAUGCGUAGAGAUUAGGAAGAACACCAGUGGCGAAGGCGAUUCUCUGGACUGUAACUGACGCUGAGGCACGAAAGCGUGGGUAGCAAACAGGAUUAGAUACCCUGGUAGUCCACGCCGUAAACGAUGAGUACUAGGUGUAGGAGGUAUCGACCCCUUCUGUGCCGCAGUAAACACAUUAAGUACUCCGCCUGGGAAGUACGAUCGCAAGAUU